GUAAGUGUAGUUUAAAAAAACAUUAGAUUGUGAAUCUAAUAAUAGAAGCUUAUAACCUUCUCACUCACC
rnacentral:tRNA from 1 species